GAAUUAAUACCGCAUGUGAUUAGAGAGGACAUCCUUUCGAAAUUAAAGUCGGGGCAACCUGACGCUUCUUGUGGGGCCCGCGGCCUAUCAGCUAGUUGGUGAGGUAACGGCUCACCAAGGCUUUGACGGGUAGCUGGUCUGAGAGGACGACCAGCCACACUGGGACUGAGACACGGCCCAGACACCUACGGGUGGCAGCAGUCGAGAAUUUUUGACAAUGGGGGAAACCCUGAUCGAGCGACGCCGCGUGGAGGAUGAAGGUCUUCGGAUUGUAAACUCCUGUCAUUGGGGAACAAGGUGCAUACGUUAACUGCGUGUGCAUUGAUAGUACCCGAAGAGGAAGAGACGGCUAACUCUGUGCCAGCAGCCGCGGUAAUACAGAGGUCUCAAGCGUUGUUCGGAUUCAUUGGGCGUAAAGGGUGCGUAGGCGGCGCGGUAAGUCGGGUGUGAAAUCUCGGAGCUUAACUCC
rnacentral:rRNA from 1 species